GACGAACGCUGGCGGCGUGCUUAACACAUGCAAGUCGAACGGAAAGGCCCUGCUUUUGUGGGGUGCUCGAGUGGCGAACGGGUGAGUAACACGUGAGUAACCUGCCCUUGUCUUUGGGAUAACUUCAGGAAACUGGGGCUAAUACCGGAUAGGAGCUCCUGCUGCAUGGUGGGGGUUGGAAAGUUUCGGCGGUUGGGGAUGGACUCGCGGCUUAUCAGCUUGUUGGUGGGGUAGUGGCUUACCAAGGCUUUGACGGGUAGCCGGCCUGAGAGGGUGACCGGCCACAUUGGGACUGAGAUAGGGACCAGACUCCUACGGGAGGCAGCAGUGGGGAAUAUUACACAGUGGGCGGAAGCCUGAUGCAGCAACGCCGCGUGCGGGAUGACGGCCUUCGGGUUGUAAACCGCUUUCGCCUGUGACGAAGCGUGAGUGACGGUAAUGGGUAAAGAAGCACCGGCUAACUACGUG
rnacentral:rRNA from 1 species